GAUGUGAAAUCCCCGGGCUCAACCUGGGAACUGCAUUCGAAACUGGCAGGCUAGAGUCUUGUAGAGGGGGGUAGAAUUCCAGGUGUAGCGGUGAAAUGCGUAGAGAUCUGGAGGAAUACCGGUGGCGAAGGCGGCCCCCUGGACAAAGACUGACGCUCAGGUGCGAAAGCGUGGGGAGCAAACAGGAUUAGAUACCCUGGUAGUCCACGCCGUAAACGAUGUCGACUUGGAGGUUGUGCCCUUGAGGCGUGGCUUCCGGAGCUAACGCGUUAAGUCGACCGCCUGGGGAGUACGGCCGCAAGGUUAAAACUCAAAUGAAUUGACGGGGGCCCGCACAAGCGGUGGAGCAUGUGGUUUAAUUCGAUGCAACGCGAAGAACCUUACCUACUCUUGACAUCCAGAGAACUUUCCAGAGAUGCUUUGGUGCCUUCGGGAACUCUGAGACAGGUGCUGCAUGGCUGUCGUCAGCUCGUGUUGUGAAAUGUUGGGUUAAGUCCCGCAACGAGCGCAACCCUUAUCC
rnacentral:rRNA from 1 species